rfam:Listeria grayi DSM 20601 genomic scaffold SCAFFOLD1, whole genome shotgun sequence.
UCAUUUCUUCGGGGCAGGGUGUAAUUCCCGACCGACGGUGACAGCUUCCUUUUGGUAGCUGAAGUCCGUGACCCGCAUUAAUUUGCGGUUGAUCUAGUGAAAAUCUGGAACCGACAGUGAAAGUCUGGAUGGGAGAAGAAGUAC